UUGUGUGUAGGAGGAAUUAGUUUAUUUCAGUGGAAACAAGGAAACACUUGAAAUAAAUUAAUUUUAAA
rnacentral:ncRNA from 2 species